CCGGCUUCCUACCUGCCGGGACGCUGGGCUGUUACUGAGGCGGAGACACAUGUGAUGAUUGGCUUUCUGGGGAAAGAGAAAGUCCUGUGAUUGGUCAGGUCUCCGGAGCUCGUCAACGCCGGGAGAGGACGCUCCCACGGAGGCCGGAAUUGGCUGCGAAAG
rnacentral:lncRNA from 1 species